rnacentral:rRNA from 1 species
GACGAACGCUGGCGGCGUGCUUAACACAUGCCAGUCGAACGGAAAGGCCCUGCUUUUGUGGGGUGCUCGAGUGGCGAACGGGUGAGUAACACGUGAGUAACCUGCCCUUGACUUUGGGAUAACUUCAGGAAACUGGGGCUAAUACCGGAUAGGAGCUCCUGCUGCAUGGUGGGGGUUGGAAAGUUUCGGCGGUUGGGGAUGGACUCGCGGCUUAUCAGCUUGUUGGUGGGGUAGUGGCUUACCAAGGCUUUGACGGCUAGCCGGCCUGAGAGGGUGACCGGCCACAUUGGGACUGAGAUACGGCCCAGACUCCUACGGGAGGCAGCAGUGGGGAAUAUUGCACAAUGGGCGGAAGCCUGAUGCAGCAACGCCGCGUGCGGGAUGACGGCCUUCGGGUUGUAAACCGCUUUCGCCUGUGACGAAGCGUGAGUGACGGUAAUGGGUAAAGAAGCACCGGCUAACUACGUG